rnacentral:rRNA from 1 species
AUUGAACGCUGGCGGCAGGCCUAACACAUGCAAGUCGAGCGGAUGAAGGGAGCUUGCUCCUGGAUUCAGCGGCGGACGGGUGAGUAAUGCCUAGGAAUCUGCCUGGUAGUGGGGGAUAACGUCCGGAAACGGGCGCUAAUACCGCAUACGUCCUGAGGGAGAAAGUGGGGGAUCUUCGGACCUCACGCUAUCAGAUGAGCCUAGGUCGGAUUAGCUAGUUGGUGGGGUAAAGGCCUACCAAGGCGACGAUCCGUAACUGGUCUGAGAGGAUGAUCAGUCACACUGGAACUGAGACACGGUCCAGACUCCUACGGGAGGCAGCAGUGGGGAAUAUUGGACAAUGGGCGAAAGCAUGAUACAGCCAUGCCGCGUGUGUGAAGAAGGUCUUCGGAUUGUAAAGCACUUUAAGUUGGGAGGAAGGGCAGUAAGUUAAUACCUUGCUGUUUUGACGUUACCAACAGAAUAAGCACCGGCUAACUUCGUG